UGAAUACGCGGGUUCGAUUCCCGUCAUCGGCUCCAUUUUUUGCGUCGGAGCAUGGUAGAUACCACGCUCCUUUU
rnacentral:tRNA from 1 species